UACGAAGGGGGCUAGCGUUGCUCGGAAUUACUGGGCGUAAAGCGCAUGUAGGCGGCGAUUCAAGUUAGAUGUGAAAGGCCCGGGCUCAACCCGGGAACUGCAUUUGAUACUGAAUUGCUAGAGUCCAAGAGAGGGUAGUGGAAUUCCCAGUGUAGAGGUGAAAUUCGUAGGUAUUGGGAAGAACACCAGUGGCGAAGGCGGCUACCUGGCUUGGUACUGACGCUGAGAUGCGAAAGCGUGGGGAGCGAACAGG
rnacentral:rRNA from 1 species